CAAAUCUUGACAUCCUUUGACCGCUCUAGAGAUAGAGUUUUCCCCUUCGGGGGACAAAUGACAGGUGGUGCAUGGUUGUCGUCAGCUCGUGUCGUGAGAUGUUGGGUUAAGUCCCGCAACGAGCGCAACCCUUAAGCUUAGUUGCCAUCAUUUAGUUGGGCACUCUAAGUUGACUGCCGGUGACAAACCGGAGGAAGGUGGGGAUGACGUCAAAUCAUCAUGCCCCUUAUGAUUUGGGCUACACACGUGCUACAAUGGACAAUACAAAGGGCAGCGAAACCGCGAGGUCAAGCAAAUCCCAUAAAGUUGUUCUCAGUUCGGAUUGUAGUCUGCAACUCGACUACAUGAAGUCUGGAAUCGCUAGUAAUCG
rnacentral:rRNA from 1 species